GAUGAACGCUGGCGGCGUGCUUAACACAUGCAAGUCGAACGAAGCACUUUAUUUGAUUUCCUUCGGGACUGAUUAUUUUGUGACUGAGUGGCGGACGGGUGAGUAACGCGUGGGUAACCUGCCUUGUACAGGGGGAUAACAGUUGGAAACGGCUGCUAAUACCGCAUAAGCGCACAGCAUCGCAUGGCGCAGUGUGAAAAACUCCGGUGGUAUAAGAUGGACCCGCGUUGGAUUAGCUAGUUGGUGAGGUAACGGCCCACCAAGGCGACGAUCCAUAGCCGACCUGAGAGGGUGACCGGCCACAUUGGGACUGAGACACGGCCCAAACUCCUACGGGAGGCAGCAGUGGGGAAUAUUGCACAAUGGGCGAAAGCCUGAUGCAGCGACGCCGCGUGAGCGAAGAAGUAUUUCGGUAUGUAAAGCUCUAUCAGCAGGGAAGAUAAUGA
rnacentral:rRNA from 1 species